GCUGUUCCAGCAAAGCAAAAACGUCUGGGGCGAUGUGUGAAAGGCUUCACUCAAACAGUGUGGGACACGAUCAGUCUGGAGGUGAUGACCAAGGCAAUCACGGCCAAAU